rnacentral:rRNA from 1 species
UACGGGGGGGGCAAGCGUUGUUCGGAAUUACUGGGCGUAAAGGGUUCGUAGGUGGCUUGCUAAGUCAGACGUGAAAUCCCUCAGCUUAACUGGGGAACUGCGUCUGAUACUGGCGAGCUUGAGUGCAGGAGAGGAACGCAGAAUUCCAGGUGUAGCGGUGAAAUGCGUAGAUAUCUGGAGGAACACCGGUGGCGAAGGCGGCGUCCUGGACCAACACUGACACUGAGGAGCGAAAGCCAGGGGAGCAAACGGG